UACGUAGGGGGCAAGCGUUGUCCGGAUUUAUUGGGCGUAAAGAGCUCGUAGGCGGUUUGGUAAGUCUGGUGUGAAAUCUCCACGCUCAACGUGGAGGGGCCACCCGAUACUGCCAUGACUGGAGUCCGGUAGAGGAGUGUGGAAUUCCCGGUGUAGCGGUGAAAUGCGUAGAGAUGUGGAGGAACACCAGUGGCGAAGGCGACUCUUUGGCCUGUAACUGACGCUGAGGCGCGAAAGCGUGGGGAGCAAACAGG
rnacentral:rRNA from 1 species